rnacentral:rRNA from 1 species
UGGGAAGUAAAAGUCGUAACAAGGUUUCCGUAGGUGAACCUGCGGA